GACGAACGCUGGCGGCGUGCUUAACACAUGCAAGUCGAACGGAAAGGCCCUGCUUUUGUGGGGUGCUCGAGUGGCGAACGGGUGAGUAACACGUGAGUCACCUGCCCUUUACUUUGGGAUAACUUCAGGAAACUGGGGCUAAUACCGGAUAGGAGCUCCUGCUGCAUGGUGGGGGUUGGAAAGUUUCGGCGGUUGGGGAUGGACUCGCGGCUUAUCAGCUUGUUGGUGGGGUAGUGGCUUACCAAGGCUUUGACGGGUAGCCGGCCUGAGAGGGUGACCGGCCACAUUGGGACCGAGAGACGGACCAGACUCCUACGGGAGGCAGCAGUGGGGAAUAUUGCACAAUGGGCGGAAGCCUGAUGCAGCAACGCCGCGUGCGGGAUGACGGCCUUCGGGUUGUAAACCGCUUUCGCCUGUGACGAAGCGUGAGUGACGGUAAUGGGUAAAGAAGCACCGGCUAACUACGUG
rnacentral:rRNA from 1 species